GAUGAACGCUGGCGGCGUGCCUAAUACAUGCAAGUCGAGCGAACAGACGAGGAGCUUGCUCCUCUGACGUUAGCGGCGGACGGGUGAGUAACACGUGGAUAACCUACCUAUAAGACUGGGAUAACUUCGGGAAACCGGAGCUAAUACCGGAUAACAUGUUGAACCUCAUGGUUCAACAGUGAAAGACGGUUUUGCUGUCACUUAUAGAUGGAUCCGCGUCGCAUUAGCUAGUUGGUAAGGUAACGGCUUACCAAGGCAACGAUGCGUAGCCGACCUGAGAGGGUGAUCGGCCACACUGGAACUGAGACACGGUCCAGACUCCUACGGGAGGCAGCAGUAGGGAAUCUUCCGCAAUGGGCGAAAGCCUGACGGAGCAACGCCGCGUGAGUGAAGAAGGUCUUCGGAUCGUAAAACUCUGUUAUUAGGGAAGAACAAAUGUGUAAGUAACUAUGCACGUCUUGACGGUACCUAAUCAGAAAGCCACGGCUAACUACGUG
rnacentral:rRNA from 1 species